UACGUAGGGUGCAAGCGUUAAUCGGAAUUACUGGGCGUAAAGCGUGCGCAGGCGGUUUGUAAGUCUGUCGUGAAAUCCCCGGGCUCAACCUGGGAAUUGCGAUGGAGACUGCAAGGCUAGAAUCUGGCAGAGGGGGGUAGAAUUCCACGUGUAGCAGUGAAAUGCGUAGAGAUGUGGAGGAACACCGAUGGCGAAGGCAGCCCCCUGGGUCAAGAUUGACGCUCAUGCACGAAAGCGUGGGGAGCAAACAGGG
rnacentral:rRNA from 1 species